GCGAACUUCUGCUGCGGCUCACCUGGGGGCGUCAUCGCCCCGCUUUCUUGACGGACAGCUCUGCGAGCCAAUCGGCGGUGCCGGAGUCAGACCACGUGAUCUUAUCCGGCUUGUAUUAUGACAUACAUAAUGGAAAGCCUUAAGCUGGUGAUGGAAUGUUAAACAGCUGUCAAAAGGAACAAAUUACAAAGAAUUUAUUCAUGUUAAUGUUAAAUGAUGACACCAUACUUAACCAGAGUCAGUGUAUCUUUCGAGAAGAGGGAGAAGGGACUGCAGGGGAGCCGGGAGAGAAAAAUGGUGCCCUGGCCAACUUGAAUCUUUUAUAUAAAUAAACAGCCUACUCGAUCACAGAUACAAAAGACACAGGCAGUGAUGGCUUAUCACAGAAAAAUGGACACUACUAGACGACUUGAAGUUUUGUUGUGCUCAAUCACAGGUGGAGCGAGCGAUGGGGUGUCUCAUUGGCUCUGUGCUUUACACGCUGCAGGUCUACAGAGGCGCAUGGCACUGAGGCGUAAACCUUCAGGUGGUGCGGCGGAUGGAGUGUUUUGAAUACGAGGAGCGUGUGUUUCCCGUGUUGAGUAAUUUUCUCCCCAUUGUCUCCUGGCCAUGCAGUGACUAGCACGAGCGGCUCGUUUUCCCCGUCUCCCUUACGCCCGUCCUCUCCUCUUCCACCUCUUCCUCUUCUUCCUCCUGGCUCAGAAAUGUAUUGGAGCGUACCCUGUCUUACUCCCCAUCGCACGGUAAAGCGCCGUCGUCGUCACCGUAGGACGGCAGGGCGGUGCCUAAUUCGUCCACGCACCAGCAGUGGCCUCGCUGCAUGCCUUUAGAGGACCGACACUGAAGAGCGACAGAAGCCUCGAGUGUCGCAGUUGGGGAUGUAGAUGUCACGAUCAGACUGGAAAACGGUGAGCUCGAGGCCACGCAGCACGGCGUUGAGCAGUUUCCGGCACGGAGCCUGGAGAGGAAAUGAAAGUACAGUGGAAAAAGAUGGGAG